CUCAUCCGUGACAGGCCACGCCCCCAGCGCCGCUUCCGGCCGUUCGAGGGAGCGGCGCCUCUGGGAGCGCCUCAGGAGCGCCUCAGGGACCUCCGGGAGCGAGGGGGAACUGCUGGAGGAGCCCGGGGGGCUGCGGGAUCCCUGGGAGUCUGCAGGAGCCGCGGGCUGAGCACUGGAACUGCCGGGGCUGGAGAAACCACGACUGUUACUGCUUUCAGCAGCCCAGACUGUGAUGGAUUGAUUCAGUGACCCAGCAUACAAGUAUUUAUCAUCUUUGGAGAAGGAGGCACUGCAAAGGCCUUUCAGGAGAGAUGUGGGCUGAAAAUGGCAUUAGAUUGUUGUGCUGGUAAAUACAGGUUGGAGAUGUUUUAA